UACAAGUGCAUAGGAUGGAUUGCUGGCUGCUUUUCAAGAACACAGUCAGUGCUACAAAAACUUUGCAAGAUGGCAAAUUUUCUCAUGUUUCCUGUUCCUUGCUCUGCUAGGACCUGCUAGAAGGAACAAUUUCUUGAAUUUAGGGUUAUUAAUCUAGGUGAAAUUAACUCUGUUAGAGGAGCAAAACUGAGAACAUCAUACAAAAAUGACCCAGUAUGUUUUCUGAGAGUGCAAAACCCAUCUUGCUGUCUAUCCUUGGAGGACACAAUCCAUCCUCAGUUGGUUUGUACAAGUUACCAUCAGAGAUAUAAGCUCACAAAGACUUACUGUCACUAUGAAAAUAAGCACAUUAAAUCACAAAACACUCUAACAGAAAAACAUAAAUCUUGAUUGGCUGUCUUCAGUCCCCUGAAGUGCCUGAUGCUGGCAGAACAGGUCUUUUAAAACUGAAGUCCAGCUGCUCAGUUACUGUAGAUCAGCAUAAGAUGUUGUGAAGAGGAAAAGCAUUGGUAGUGCAUAAAGGUUGUUUUAAAGAGAUCAGUGAAUAACUAAAUGUUUAACAUGCCCACUGGGAUGUGUAUAAAACAGAGUCUGAUUUGCAGAGAAGAAGAUUUAAAUUACAUAUUUAAAAAAAAUAUUAUCUAGUGGCUAAGCAGAAGCAGGCUGUGUUGCUAACCUCCUUCACUGGGAGUUCAUAAGAACUGAUCAGACUAACAUCUGCCACACAUGGAUUCUGGAUUCUGCUCCAGUGGAGAGGCUAAACUGUGUGUGCUCUGGAGAUCUCUUCAGUGCUUACAAAGUGUGAAGAAAUAGAACUCAGAAUUGAAACAGUUAUGGAUUUUCAAAACACCUUUGUCUCCUUGCUUCCUGUUCAAGACAGACCGCAAGACUCAGAGAUUGGUUCAAUCCCAUGUGUUAAUCCCUGUGUUAUUCAGCCUGCACUUAAUUUCUGAGCACAGCUAAGAGACAGCCAUACAUGUAAAACAUUCUAGCAAAUGUAGUUAAAUCAAUCCAGUAAAAUUUUAAUAUUCCUUUUCAUGCUAAAGUGAGCUAUAACUGCUAUUUAACUUCAUAGUUAACUACAUUAUAUAAGUAUCUAUUUAUUACUGUAUAACUAUGAACAUAUAAUUAUAAAAUUGUAUAUGGUAGUU
rnacentral:lncRNA from 1 species